rnacentral:rRNA from 1 species
UGAGGAAUAUUGGACAAUGGGCGCAAGCCUGAUCCAGCCAUGCCGCGUGCAGGAAGAAGCAUCUAUGGUGUGUAAACUGCUUUUGUACGGGAAGAACCACUCCUACGUGUAGGAGCUUGACGGUACCGUAAGAAUAAGGAUCGGCUAACUCCGUGCCAGCAGCCGCGGUAAUACGGAGGAUCCAAGCGUUAUCCGGAAUCAUUGGGUUUAAAGGGUCCGUAGGCGGUUUAAUAAGUCAGUGGUGAAAGCCCAUCGCUCAACGAUGGAACGGCCAUUGAUACUGCUAGACUUGAAUUACAAGGAAGUAACUAGAAUAUGUAGUGUAGCGGUGAAAUGCUUAGAUAUUACAUGGAAUACCAAUUGCGAAGGCAGGUUACUACUUGUGGAUUGACGCUGAUGGACGAAAGCGUGGGGAGCGAACA